AAACAUGUAGCAGUCAACUUGAGGAAAAGGUUUUUGCUGAUUAGUGAGGCGAUCGUGGUGUUUAUGUUUGUUAGAAAGCCCACAUGUAUAAUGUGGUCAUUGUUGUUGGUUUCUGUUCGGUUAGUUAGCGUAUGUGUUGCCUUUUCCAACGCUCCUUCAACGCACCACAAUUGCCACAGCAGAGAGAGAGAAGAUAAAGGAGUCCGUGUAUUUACUUAAUAACCUAAUAUCUGCGGUGGCCUGGCUCGUGUUCUUCCUGUCGGCGUCUGCGUGUGUGCUCCUUCAGGUGUUGCUGUGCGUGACAGAAGCAGAUUGCAAACAACGAUGGAGCACAAGAGUCACGUCUGCAGUGUGUUCUACAAACACUUCACUGAGAAGUCAAGCUUGACCCGCCACAUGAAGCUUCAUGGUCCAAAGGAGCACAAGUGCAGUGUGUGUGGGAAGAGCUUCAGCACCGAGCAUGCUGGAGUAUGUGUGAGACUUCCCAUCUGUCAUGUGCCAUCAUGACAAGAGGUUGAAGAAACAUGAAGCAAAGACUGAGGCUUCUUCUCAGUCAAAGCCCAGCAUGACGCUCUCUAUGCCACUGAUGCAGAGCUUCUGGCUGUUGCAGAAAGUCUCCUGGACGAGUCGGAGGUGUGUGUCCUGGCCUACAACAGGGAGGACAUGAUGCUCCGGUCAAAGCCGUCAGGAGUGGAAGUCCAGAGCUGUACGCCCAGUAUUCGGACCAGGACAUGAUCGGCGUCCUCAAAGCCCAUCAGAUCAAGUCUUACGUCAGGCGCGUCACCCGUGGGAUUGAGGACACUGCCUGUCCUAGAAUCAAUUCUGGCUGACUUCAAGGGGCCAGUGGGUCUCCACAUAGACGGCAUCCCGCUCUUCAAGUCUACAGGCUGCAGAUGCACACCGGGUGACAGCAAGCAAACAUCUUGGAUGUAUGCAGGCGAGUUCAGGUCUAUGUGUAAUUCUUGUCAUGUGUGUAGACCAGUCUGCCAGGCUAAGAGCCACGUUGUGUUUUGUAGGAUCCUCCUGGCUUUCAGCUGUACGUGGCAGUGAAGAAGGUGGUGCUGAACGGCGUGCAGCUGAACAGGUACAGAUGUCGGGCCUGCAUGCACACCUGGACAACGCCAUUCCGUCCUACAGAUGUGGGAUCAGGCCAUUCCAAGUGUACCUGAUUGGAUUCGUUGUGCAGUGGAACACCAGGAUGGAAUCCCUCCGGGUGGCUGGCGGUCACCACCAUGAACCACCAGGCUGAGGUGCUGUUUGGCAAGGAGCAUGUGCCGGAGCCCAACUUUGCUGCUCCUCUGCCCUGCCCUGACCAAUACAAACACCUGGACGAGGAGGAGCUCCUGGGGGUUGAGUACGCCCUGUGCCAGUCCACUGCCUUCACACCACCGCAGUACUAUGCACAGAGAGUGCAGGAAGAGCAGUGUCGCCAGGAUGAAGAGGAACUGCAGCAGCUACGGCGGCACCAUCUGUCCAGUUUGCCGGGCCCUCCUGCAGUCAAGUGUUUGCCUGCUCUGCCUCCACCUGCACCUAAGGUCCAUUCCAUCGUGCCCAACAAGUCACAGAGACCAUGUGGGGCUAGUCAGGUACUGCAGUGUGGUGGCAUGCGCAAAAGAUACACGCCUUCCGAGGAGAAAGUAGGUGGGAGCAGCCAGAAAUUGUUCACUUUUUGCCCCAAGACCGGCAAAUCCACCACACCUGGCUUUGAAGAUGUGGUGUACACCAGCUUUGAACAUUUUAAAGGUAUGGUGGACAAGGAACUGGAGAGGAGAAACAACCAACAGCUCUAAAGCCUCGCUGGACUGUUGGCAGUUGCCUCUGCUGCUGCUGUUGUUGUUAUUUGCUGUUUGGACAUUUUAACUUAUUGUUUAUGUGUGCACUUCUGAGAAGGUCACUAUUUGUUCUUUGUUUGUGGCUGCCUCUUUUUAAUUUCAGUUCAUUUAUUUAUCUAGAAGUAACCGUGCACAAUAAUUUGUCAUUUGCUGCACCAGACCAAAUUUACACUGAUUCUAAUUGACAUCCCCACUUUGCCACUUCUUUAAGUGCCACUUUUAAAGUCCUUGCCGAUGUCUUUGUGGUAUUAGACAGAUUGUUCCGCUGUCUAAAGGAACCGUAUACAAUAAUUAACUUUGUAGUGCACUAAACCAAACUUACAGUGAUUCUAAUUGACAUCCCCACUUUGUCACUUCUUUAAAUGUCACUUUUGAAUUGACAAUGUCUUUGUGGUAUCACAAGUGGCCUUGGCUGACUUUACAAAAGAGAAAUGAUGUGAAUUUAUUAUUAUUGUUAUUAUUAUGUGAAUUUGUGCCGAACAUUUUAUGCUUGAAUGUUGAUAAGUGUACACUGCAUUUAAAGGUUUUGAAAUUUUUCAGAUUAUAGUGGAUUGAGGAAUGAUUUUUAUUCCUGGUGCCUUCCUCAUCCUCCUCCCCCCCCUUGUUCUGUCAGCUUGGCACUGCACUCUCCUUAUAAAGUAGCUAUUAGAAUGAUUGUCCUGUAUACUUGAAGUUUAUUACGACCUCUACUGAGGCACUUCUCCCUAUUCGUAAAUAGUAUUACUAGUAGGUUUUUGUGUUGUAAAGUAUGUAUUAUUUGUAAUAUUUGCUCAUUUAAAAUAAUAGUAUUUUCUGAAGAUAUUUUAUGUAUUCUUUAUAUUUGCAAAAUAACAUAAACAAUCAAUAAAAAUAUUGGUGGCAUUUCAA